GAAAUGCGAUAAGUAAUGUGAAUUGCAGAAUUCCGUGAAUCAUCGAAUCUUUGAACGCACAUUGCGCCCCCUGGCAUUCCGGGGGGCAUGCCUGUCCGAGCGUCAUUACGCACCCUCAAGCCCGGCUUGUGUGAUGGGCCCCGGCGUCUCGUUCGCGAGACGGGCCCGAAAGGCAGCGGCGGCGUCGACCCGAUGAGCCCGAGCGUAUGGGGACUUCUGUCACACGUUCGCGGUGCGGACCGGCGCCUGCUUUGACUUUUCUGAUUAUCCAGGUUGACCUCGGAUCAGGUAGGGAUACCCGCUGAACUUAAGC
rnacentral:misc_RNA from 1 species